UGGGGAAUAUUGGACAAUGGGCGAAAGCCUGAUCCAGCCAUGCCGCGUGUGUGAAGAAGGUCUUCGGAUUGUAAAGCACUUUAAGUUGGGAGGAAGGGUUGUAGAUUAAUACUCUGCAAUUUUGACGUUACCGACAGAAUAAGCACCGGCUAACUCUGUGCCAGCAGCCGCGGUAAUACAGAGGGUGCAAGCAUUAAUCGGAAUUACUGGGCGUAAAGCGCGCGUAGGUGGUUAGUUAAGUUGGAUGUGAAAAUCCCCGGGCUCAACCUGGGAACUGCAUUCAAAACUGACUGACUAGAGUAUGGUAGAGGGUGGUGGAAUUUCCUGUGUAGCGGUGAAAUGCGUAGAUAUAGGAAGGAACACCAGUGGCGAAAGGCGACCACCUGGACUGAUACUGACACUGAGGUGCGAAAGCGUGGGGAGCAAAACAGGAUUAGAUACCCUGGUAGUCCACGCCGUAAACGAUGUCAACUAGCCGUUGGGGAGCCUUGAGCUCUUAGUGGCGCAGCUAAACGCAUUAAGUUGACCGCCUGGGGAGUACGGCCGCAAGGUUAAAAA
rnacentral:rRNA from 1 species